rnacentral:rRNA from 1 species
UACGAAGGGUGCGAGCGUUGUUCGGAAUUAUUGGGCGUAAAGCGCACGUAGGCGCCUUGUAAGUCUCACUGUGAAAGCCCGGGGCUCAACCCCGGGAGGCCAGGGGGAUACGUGCCGAGGCUGGAGACAAGCAGAGGUUGGUAGGAAUUCCUGGUGUAGCGGUGAAAUGCGCAGAUAUCAGGAGGAACACCGGUGGCGAAGGCGGGAUCUCUGGGCCAACUUGACUG